UCUGUGCGGUUCACAUUUCGU
rnacentral:piRNA from 1 species